GGGAAACCGGGGCUAAUACCGGAUAACAUUUUGAACCGCAUGGUUCGAAAUUGAAAGGCGGCUUCGGCUGUCACUUAUGGAUGGACCCGCGUCGCAUUAGCUAGUUGGUGAGGUAACGGCUCACCAAGGCAACGAUGCGUAGCCGACCUGAGA
rnacentral:rRNA from 1 species